GCUGGAGUGGUGGAAUUGGCAGACACAUAGGCUUCAGGAGCCUAAGGCCAUUAGGCCGUGAGGGUUCAAAUCCCUCCUCCAGCA
rnacentral:tRNA from 1 species